CGGCGUGCGAGUCUGCCCGCUGCGGCUGCCUCGAUCCUGUACGCUGUCGGCCUCAUUUUGUCAUCGUUGAUGCAGUGUAUUUAUCAAAUUUCAUUCCUCUUGUUAGAUCUAGCUGCUACAGACACACAUCAACCAUAGGACAGAUGAGCCGGUGGAAGGUAAUGAUACCGUUGCUAGAUCGAGCUGCUCCUCGCCUCCUCCCCCUUCUGUGACUUACCUACCCCUCCUGAUAUUGCUUACUCCAUAUUAGAUUUCUCGUCGCUCUCUGUUGCUUGCUUAUAUCACAUCUAUCCCUCUCCCGUGUUUGUAUGGAGUAGUAGCAAAUCUUGUUUUGUGCGUGCUAAUUGCUAAGCUUUUGGGUCAAGUAGUAAUUUCAGACCAUAUAUACUUCACGUGUAUUAGAUUAUUUUUACAGCAAUUGCUGAAGAUGCACAAGUAUUACUCUGCCAUUCAUAUAUUUAGGGGGCAGUUUACUUGUACAGGUAUUUGUAGCCUUUUCAUUCUUUGCAAUCGGCCUGGAUUUAAGGUGACGUUUGAAUCUCUUUUCAUGUACCAGGUAUUCACAAACUAAUGUAAUAGAGGAUUGUUCUACAACUUCUUUUUUUCGCCGGUUUUGAUUCAUACAAUGAUUUUAAUUUUUAAAGACCAGUGGCUGCAGGGUUACUGUCAGCUAAUAAAUUUGAUUCAUACAAUGAGGAUAAAGACCAGUGGUUGUGGGGUUACUGUGGUACGGUAUUUGCAACAUGAAACUGGAUUGAUGAACUACUUAUUUUGUUCCUGAUGUGAUAUAAUAUUGGGUGUGUGAAGGCUGAUAGUUUGCUUGUUUGUUUGAUAAAUUUGGUUGUAUCCUUCAUUAGAUGGUUCUUGAAUUGUUAUCGGACAAUGAUUACUAUAGUGUCAUACUACAAUUAAAUAUAUUCAGUUCACCGGUCCAGUACAGCCUUACAGAAGAUAAUGUGAACAUAUAGCAUGCAAGUGGUUAGGCUAAGUGCAAGUGGGUAUCUGUAAGAGAUAGGAAUUAUAUAAGGAGAAUAGUGGGAAGGGUGUCUACUGAUCCUAUCCAGAAUAACCUUUCUGAACUAUAUGUGCCUUGAUGCACUUCUGCACGCCUUCAAUUUUUGGGCCCUCGGCGAGCUUCUUCCUACUUUCAAGGAAGCAAGGAAUUUGGUAGCAAGUAUGUAGCUUACUAUAGUGGGUUUCAUCUUUAGCUCUAAUCAGUCUCCCGGAUGACCUUUUUUCUGUGUAAUUUCUUCUUGCUUCAUGUUGUACUAUAUCUGGGUAGGUGUAUGUUGUUAGGUUAGUUAAAUUCUAUUACUAUUCAGCAAUGGCAUGUCUAAUUUUUAACACUCAAAACCUGAACAUGCCUCAUAAUUUUUUUGCUUGCUUGUUUGAAGACGAUAGUUUGAGUGGUAAUCCUCUCUUCAUGACCAGUGGGUACAUUUUUAGUGCAUGUCUCUACUUUUGGUGUUUCCACUCUAUAAUAUUACAGAAAAUGACUCUUAUUAUCCUUUCCGUUUUAGUGGUGUCACUGCUUCGUAGAUGUUUCUCUUGGAGAGAAAGCACAUGGCAUGUUUCAAGAUUCACUUGUUACCAAAUGCAGUGUUCCAGAAAAAGCUGGACUUUCGGUUUGACUUCUAUCUUUCUGUUCAUACUUUAGUAGCGUGCUAUACAUUUGCAUGUAUUUUCUUUCUCAUGUACUUAUGAAGGCAUACAUAUGAUAUGUAUGUUCUAAAUGAGCAUAAGCAUCCAAAUUUAUGUGGAUAGAAUUGCUCAUUUAUCUUACUUUUCCCUAUGACAUGAUUUCCGCAAGGAAGACGUUGAUGCAGUCAGGUACUUGGUUUCUUAGUCCGCCUCUAUUAUCUCGAUAAGCACAUUUUUCUAUUAUGCCUCCGUUUUUCUCUGCGCGUCAUUUUAGUUAGCUUUUGUAAGGUUCACUGUAAUCUCAUACAUUAUAUGGCCAAGGCGUUGUCUUCGUUUCCUAUGCUCAUUUGUAGAUCAAGGUGUGCAGGCGUGAUCUACAGUAUCUUGAUGUUCAUUCUAAAUCUUGAAUAGUGGGUAAUUAAGAAAUGGCAUCAACUCUUGAGAGAUAACAUGAUUUCUCUUGAUUUUAUAUUAUGGUUCUUAGAAUGUCAAGGAGUAUACACUAUUUUCUUGUGUUAGCAAUGAUUGCUUAUAUGAUUUACACAUCUUUCAGGAAUUAUUGCAAGGCCUAGCGAUGGAAGCCUGGAGGAGGAUUUGGUAAAUUGCAGAGGCAUCGGAGGCUUCUCUGUAGUGCUUUAUAAGUUCAUGGAACCUGUGGAAAAAUGGCUUGGGUAUUUUCAAAUUGCCAGCUACUCUUGACUUCUCUGUAGUGCUUUAUCUUGGCCGAGACCACUUGGUUCAGUUUAUUCAGUUGAAAAUGGCUUGGGUGUGGUAUAGGUUAUCAAAUCAUUGCGCUACCACUGAAUCAUUUGUAGCAUGAACUCAUGAUAAAUCAUGUUAAUCUCACAGUUCUCAUACUAUUGUACUUUAGAGCUGAGCAUCUUCAACAUUGUGCAUGAGGUACAAAGUGUGUUUCUUCUGUUGCUAUGCCUGAGCAGUGAGAACAAUAUAUUUCGGCAUCUUGGGAUAGUUCCCUUUGGCAAUGGAAUGCUGAAACAGGGAAACAAACAUGGAAUAUGGUAUGCAUACUAUUUCUUGUUAAUCAUUUAAAGAAAUAACUACCUUUUCCAUUCCUAAAGAUUUGCACAUGUACAUUUAUGUGCUGAUUUUCUUUUAUCACUCAGUUUUGCCUCUUGUCCAAGUCCCUGCUUAUUCAUUGACUAAUUUGUACAUUGUACAGAAAAUAUUUUUUCUAGCAAUCAUAGAACGGGGAGGCUCUGGUUUAUAAACCUAAUCUACUGCUGAAGAAAAUGAUCACAUAAUGUACCUUUUUGACAGUAUUUUUGUUAAGAGCUUGCAUUAGUCCUAUGCUUACAUCUCAUUAUCCUUUAGAUCUUCUUUUUGUUUUUACUUCCUUGAAGGGAUUAAGUGAUCCUUAUCAUUACCUUCUCGUUGCCAUUGUUACUUUCCGUUGGUGUCAACAGGUUAAAAAUACCAGUACUGCUACUUCUAGCCAUAGCACGACUAAACAGAAAUGCAGCUUUAAAUAGGUAUGGUGCAUGCUAUGAUCUGAUGCUGGUUAGGGAAUAUCAUGGUCAAUUAUCCAUGCAUGUUAGGGAAUAUGGAGGAGUAUGCACUGUCUUGUUCGGGUACAUCACAUAUACAUACUUCACCUAGCCUCCUUUUAAGCUUGGCUGAUUCCUCAUUGAGAUAUUCUGGAACAUAAGAACAACCAGAUACUUGCGAUCUCUCAUUAUCUUAGCCAGUGCUUCUAUCGACUUUUCCAAUGGUUAACUUUAUUUUUUACCUACGGGCUUGUUCGGAAUGUGGAGUGUAGGUCGCAGAUUGCCCUGCCGAAGGACAAUUUAUACAAGAGUAAAACUUAUUAACAGCUUUCUAUGCCUAACUAGGUUUGACUGGACUACCUGCAUGCUGGCAGUAGAAUCCAUGGAGAACAAAAUAAUUAUUUUAUAUUUGUUGUAAUGUGCAUAUUUUAGUAAAACUAGCCGUGAAUGAGGAGAAUAACGUUUGUGUAUGCUCUCUGUUAUGUGUCAUGCAUUUUUAUUUUUAGUAAAACUAGCCAUGAAGGAGGAGAAUUCUUAUUCUGCAAGUAAUACUCGUUGUUAGGUUGAAAUGAUGAUAUUUGCAUGUCGAUCAAAGGCUUAGAAAUGUAGUUGACUAGGUUUAGUUUUCACAGAGAUAAUCCCAUCCUAACAUGUCUCGACUGGUGCAUAUUUCACAGACGAAGGGAACUGGCAGGGGCAGCAGCAUUGUGCAGCAGCUGACUAGUCUCGUUGUGCACCGGUGCAUGGAGGUGGAGGUGGUCCUUAGGGUGGUGAUGACUGACGAGCAAGGAGGAAGGGAGUGAGGUGGUGGAGGCGAGGGCGGUGGUGCUGGUCGAUUGUGCCUGCCUGUCGCCACCUGGUCUGAGUGGCACAGCGGCCGUGCUAUGCAAGCACCAUAGGUACUGAACUAAUGAUCAAUACUUGGAUUCAGCCUAUUCAAAAUUGGAGGCCGGAAGUGCCAUGAAAGUUUUUGCUCGGUCUCUCCUCCGACGCUUGCAACCCAUACCAGUUGUCCAGUUCUACUAAUUUUAGGUUUGUAUCUGGCAGUUCGAAACAAAGGUCGAUUCCCUGUAAACAUAUUAACACAUGAAAUUUAUCCUUUAUGGCUUCC